CCUACGGGUGGCUGCAGUGGGGAAUAUUGCGCAAUGGGCGAAAGCCUGACGCAGCGACGCCGCGUGAGGGACGAAGGCCUUCGGGUUGUAAACCUCUUUCAGCGGGGACGAAGCGAAAGUGACGGUACCCGCAGAAGAAGCACCGGCUAACUACGUGCCAGCAGCCGCGGUAAUACGUAGGGUGCAAGCAUUGUCCGGAUUUAUUGGGCGUAAAGAGCUCGUAGGCGGCUUGUCACGUCGGGUGUGAAAACUCGGGGCUUAACCCCGAGCCUGCACUCGAUACGGGCUAGCUAGAGUGUUGCAGGGGAGACUGGAAUUCCUGGUGUAGCGGUGAAAUGCGCAGAUAUCAGGAGGAACACCGGUGGCGAAGGCGGGUCUCUGGGCAACUACUGACGCUGAGGAGCGAAAGCGUGGGGAGCGAACAGGCUUAGAUACCCCAGUAGUC
rnacentral:rRNA from 1 species